UCUACCUUAAAUAGGUGAACAUUGGGAGCUAUGGUGGCUCUGGCCAGUUGUCCUGGCGCUUGAGGAGGCGAGGCUACACGUUCGAGACCAGCCUGGGCAACAUGAGAACC